rnacentral:rRNA from 1 species
GGGAGUACGUUUGCAAGAAUGAAACUCAAAAGGAAUUGACGGGGGCCCGCCAAAGCGGUGGAGCAUGUGUUUUAUUUCGAUGAUACGCGGAGGAACCUUACCAAGGCUUAAAUGCAUAUUGACGAUUCACGAAAGUGGAUUUUCUUCGGACAAUUUGCAAGGUGCUGCAUGGUUGUCGUCAGCUCGUGCCGUGAGGUGUCAGGUUAAGUCCUAUAACGAGCGCAACCCCUGUGGUUAGUUACCAGCAUGUAAUGAUGGGGACUCUAGCCAGACUGCCGGUGCAAACCGUGAGGAAGGUGGGGAUGACGUCAAAUCAUCACGGCCCUUACGCCUUGGGCUACACACGUGCUACAAUGGUAUAUACAAUGAGCAGCCAUCUGGCGACAGAGCGCUAAUCUAUAAAGUAUAUCACAGUUCGAAUCGGAGUCUGCAACUCGACUCUGUGAAGCUGGAAUCGCUAGUAAUCGCACAUCAGCCAUGGUGCGGUGAAUACGUUCCCGGGCCUUGUACACACCGCCCGU